UAGGUGUUUCGUUUUAUGUAAGUGAACAGUUGUCUUUGGCUUCUGAUGAUAUGAAGAGCUAUGAUGAUUCCCCGCUAAUUGUAAAAUGAGCGAGCGAACGCGCCCGUGACUUCCGUUUCCGGCGGCGCGCCUGCGCAGCAUCCGCGCAUGAGCACUAGACCGACGCGGCUGUCAAUACUGUCAGUUGACCAACAAGUGCAUGCCUGUGUGACAUCGGAAGCGGAAGCUGCUCCCACGCGGGGAGGGUUCCGGCGCACGCGCACGCCGUGAUCUCUGACGUCACUUCCGGACGGGCCUUGAUUGAGAGUGAGUUCAUCAGUAGCCUCGUGUUCGGCGUCGGCGACGCGUGCCCGGAAGCGUCACGGCCGCGUGAAGACCGGAAAUGGGCAGGAUGACCGGAUCCUAUCUCCGCUCUCCUGCCUACCUGCCGGCCAUGUUGUGACGUCACCUCGCCCCGGCACAUGCUUCGCACAAUACCACACUCUGGUUAGAUUUUGGAGUUGUUCUGUCACUCAGAAACCGUUUCUCCGGAAGAAUUCACAACUCUGAAUUUGACUAGAGAAAUGUAUUUUAGAUAUUUGUGGUCAGUUUUAGUAGAGUGAACAUUCUUGUGGUAUCAUAAAAUGUAAACCUUCUGUUACGUUCCAUGUGCACUAAUAUGUUUAUAUAUUAGAAUUACAUUUAAGAUAAAAGUUUAUGUACCAAAAGUGUAAAU